GACGGGGCCCGCACAAGCGGAGGAACAUUGUGGUUUAAUUCGAUGAUACGCGAGGUAACCUUACCUGGGCUUAAAUGUAGAGUGCUAUUUUUUAGAGAUAGAAAUUCCCUUCGGGGCUUUCUGCAAGGUGCUGCAUGGUUGUCGUCAGCUCGUGCCGUGAGGUGUCGGGUUAAGUCCCAUAACGAGCGCAACCCUUAUCGUUAGUUGCCAUCUGGUAAUGCAGGGGACUCUAGCGAAACUGCCACCGUAAGGUGAGAGGAAGGUGGGGAUGACGUCAAAUCAGCACGGCCCUUAUGUCCAGGGCUACACACGUGUUACAAUGGUCGGUACAGAGGGCAGCUACCUGGUGACAGGAUGCUAAUCUCGAAAACCGGUCUCAGUUCGGAUCGAAGUCUGCAACUCGACUUCGUGAAGCUGGAUUCGCUAGUAAUCGCGCAUCAGCUAUGGCGCGGUGAAUACGUUCCCGGGCCUU
rnacentral:rRNA from 1 species